GGAGGUGAAGGUCGUUGACCCUACCCUCAAACAUGUUCGCCCAACUUCCAUCCAUUCACACUUGAAUAUUUGCGUACAUGCUAACAUAUAAAAAAGAUGCAAAAUUAACAAAUUUCUCGUCGGAGUCAAUGAAUAACUAUUUUGAUCUUCAAACUAAACUCAACAACGGAUAAUUUAUACUAUAUAAAAAGUCACUACUACAUUUUCAUUUGACGAGGCAAAUAAAAAAAAUCGUUAUUAAUGCUAUUCUCAUUGUCCUCAUUAAAGAUUACUCUUUUUUCAUUUUGAUUUGUCAUGUUAAAACUAAUCUAAUUUAUAAAGAUAAUUGAAAAGGUCUUUAAAAGAUGUGUCCUACCACUUUUAUUCAAUUUAUACUUUUUUUUUAAUUUUGAUUUGAAAAGAAAUAAACAAUUUUUUUUCUUAUGUGUAUUAUUUCACAAAUCACAAAAAAAAUAAUAAUAAUAAUCAACUCUCAAAAUACUAAAAGGUUAAAAAUUUCUAUGAUGAAAUAAUCAACUCUCAAAAUCAAUUAGUAUUAAUUAAAGCACGCGAAAUUUAUUGAAAAAAAAAUUGAAGAAAAUGCGAAAAGUUUAUAGGAGGAACACCAGAAAAAAAAAAAAAAAGAUAGAAAAAAAAGAAUGAUUUUUGUGUAACUCAAGUCUCCCCAAAGAAAGUAAAAUAGUAUUUUUCAUAUUUUAUAUAAUAUUGAUUCAUGCUUUCCCAAUUAUUCUCUAACAUUCAAGGUGACGAUGAAAUGAGAUUUUAUUAAGAAAAGGAAACCAACUAAAACCCUUGAGAGCAUAAGGCGCAGACUAAGGGUCGAGUGUCGUUAAAAUCUCUGAAGGAUAAGAGGAAAAAGAGUACUCGUCUAAGCAAAAAACUGAGAGUGGGGGGAAAGGAGCGGAGGUGGAACUACCUCAGAAGCUCCGGCCGAACCAUUACCUCUAGAUAGCCCCGGCUCAUUCCACCCAAAUAACACAUUAAAAAUAAAUUGCAAAAGCGAGAGCAACAAGCAAAAAAACACAAAGCAUGACAAACCAAAAACCCCCAAAAGAUAAAACAAUGAGGGACUAAAGAGCAACCCAAGGAGUCCGACCGAGAACCGGCCAGAGCCCAGCGCACCGAAGCUCUGAAAAAAGCAGACCCGACACUCCGCACCCAAACCCCAAACCGAACAACUAACAACCAUCAAAAAAUGACCCAUAUAAGUCUUGUGGCUGUCUUUGCGAACCAGCUGUGCAAUUUCAGGCAUAGGCACCGACCAGAAACCAUUGGUAGAAACAUUGGAGGCCAGAUAAUCGCCGACACGAUUGCCCUCCCUAUAAAUGUGUGAAAUACGAACGUAAAAACACAUAAAUUUUAAAAAAAAAUAUAGAUAUUCCCAUUUAACUAGCAAGUGACUUCAAAGUGCAUCAUCAUCAUCAUAAUAAUAAUAGGUGGGAAUUACUAUGUAAAAUUAAAAAGUUGUGGGAAACAUCCGAAAACAAUGUUUACACGCAAUUAAUCCUUUUAGAAUUUGAUUUGAGUUAUACUCCAUUAUCUAUCUGGGCAACAAUUAAUCCUACAUGAACUCUCAAAUUUUAUUAUCUGGCGUUUCAGCCGAUAAUUAAAAUAUUACCUUUUAUGUACAUAAAAAUGACGUUUUCUUUUUCGAAAAUCACGCUCCAUGAAGUCUACCGCUCGCAACAUAACACGAAAGAUUAAAAAAAACGGCAUUUUAUGUUUCAUAAAAAAAACGUUUCAAUUAUCAAUUGAAAUGACACGUAAUAAAAUUUUGACGUCCAUAUAAGAUUAAUAUUAAUUAAUUAAGAUCAAAUUCAAAAAUAUUAAAAGUUUAGUUAUUAAUUGAAAAAAGAAAAGUAUGGUCCAAAAAUCAAAAUUAAUUUUCCAAAACUAGAUACACAUGCAAUUAAAACCUAAUAUUUCCACUUAUAUUAUCAGAAAAAAACAGAUACUAUCAGAAAACAGAGAGAGAUGAGUUUGAAAAAGUCCACAGAAGAAAGUUUUCUUCCUCAGCUUAUUAUAUGCAUAUAUAUAUAUAUAUAUAUAUAUAUAUACACACACACANNNNNNNNNNNNNNNNNNNNNNNNNNNNNNNNNNNNNNNNNNNNNNNNNNNNNNNNNNNNNNNNNNNNNNNNNNNNNCUCUCUUCAUCUUUAUCCCACUUCUCCUCUCCCAUUCAAAUCCUAGAGAGAGAGAUGGGAAACUGCUGGCCCAAACCUGUUGCCAGCAACAGCACCAGACCUCCCAGCCCAGGUAUAUACUAUAUGCACACACACACACACAGAGCCACGGACACGAUCUGAUGAGCGUCCGAUAAAUUUUCUUUUAAUUAAUUUGUUAUAUUUAAUUAGGUUGUAAUUUGAGUUACUAUAUGAAAUUAUGAUUUCGUUCCGUCCCGUCCAAACUUGUAUCCUUUAUCAGUUCAGACGGGCCUCAACAGGAGCAACAGCCCUCCGCCGCCGCGGACUGCGGCGGCGAUUCCACCUAGCGGCCAGAUCAAAACUCCGAAUCUAAAAAUGUUCACCUACGCCGAGCUAAGAAGCGCCACCAGGAAUUUCCGGCCGGAUACGGUGCUCGGAGAGGGAGGUUUCGGAAGAGUUUUCAAAGGCUUCCUCGACGAGAAAACCCUAGCGCCGUCGCGAGUCGGCGUCGGAAUGCCCGUCGCCGUGAAGAAAUCGAAUCCCGACAGCGAACAAGGCCUCAAAGAGUGGCAGGUAACACAUUAAUUAAUUUUUCACGAAAAUAUUAAUAUUUCAUGAUCAUGAGUACAGGUCAAUAUCUAGUUUUUAUCGCUAAUGCAUGUGCUCACGCUAUCAUCAUUUUUAACUAAGUAAAACUAAUCAUUAAUUACGGAACAUACACUACAAGAAAACAAAUGAUUACCAGUGGCGUUUGCCGUCGGUAAUUUCAAGGCGGCCGCCGGAAAACGAACUAACGCCGCCGGAUAACACAAUUACCGACGGCAAAACACACCGCCAGUAAUUACCGGCGGCGGUACCGCCAUUAUAAUUCGUCGGUGAACGGCGGAGAACUACCGGCAUAUUACCGGCGGCAGCUUGUCGCCGGUAAUUACCUGCUGCGAUUUUGCCGCCGGCAAUCUUCACCGAAGGGCGGUGGUGUUUUCCGCCGGAUACUGUGUCCGCCGGUAAUUGUUUUUGAAAUUUAUUUAUUUAUAUAUAUUUUUAUUUAUUUUAUUUAUUUAUUUAUUUCAUAAGUUAGACGAACUUUUCAGUCGGUCACUCAUCUUAGUUGUGCUCUAAGUCAAGCAUGCUUAACUUUGAAGUUACUUUUGAAUGAUCACCAGUACAGAACACUCGUAUUAUUGAUAUAUAUAGUAUCUAUUAAUUCAUUUAAAGUAAUUAAAUUUAAAACAAUCAUUCAUUGGACCGCCGGUAAUUGCCGGCGGUAGCUCUGCCGCCGGUAUUUCGGCGUUUUUUUGUGGUGAUAUAGCAUGUAAUUUGCAUGUAACAUGUGCUGCUUAAUUAUGUAUAAUUAAACGGCAAUUAGUAGUAAUUUCAUAUGAUGAUUGCAGUUAUAAUAUAAAGAUGGUAUGUGAAUUAGGCCUGCAAUUUCUUCAUCGAAAAGUCAACAGCCAAACUUCCUACGUGUUUCAUUAAAUACGCAGUUUGAUUACAUUGACCCAUUAAUACUUUUAAAAUAGUUUUCCUUCUUCCCAAUCCAGAUAUUUUUCGAGUAAAUUAAUAGUACUACAUGUUUUGAAAUUUUUCUAUGAUUAUCUUGACUUUUUAAGUAUAUAUUAAUUAUUUUCUAUUGGUGCAGGCGGAGGUAAAAUUCUUGGGAAAAUUCAGCCAUCCAAAUCUUGUGAAAUUGUUGGGUUAUUGUUGGGAGGAAAGGCAGUUUCUCCUUGUCUAUGAAUACAUGCAGCGAGGAAGCUUAGAAAGUCACCUAUUCAGAAGUAAUAAUCCACUAGCCUAUCUGGUUUUCAUUUUUGAUUAGUACAUUGUUUUUUUUUUUUNCCAAGAAAAUAGUUACAUGAAAAAAUUAAAAUAGUUAUAUAUAUUUGAUUAAAUUAUGAUUUUUAGAGAUUGAUUAAUUACUGUUUACAGAGGGAGGCGAGCUAAUUCCCUGGGAUAUUAGGAUUAAAAUAGCCACCGGAGCAGCUCGAGGAUUAGCAGUCUUGCACACUACUGAAAAAACAGUAAUCUAUAGAGAUUUCAAGGCCUCAAACAUAUUACUCGAUAAGGUAAUUAAUACUCACAGCAUUUUAUAUAUGCUUGAUUUAAUUCGAGUUCUAUGAAAAUGAAUCUAUAUACGCACGACGACCUUUUUUUAUUUGAUAGUAUUACAUUUCUGAUUAGCCCAUGUUUCUUAUUUUUAGGAUUUCAAUGCAAAGCUUUCCGAUUUUGGACUUGCUAAAUUAGGUCCAGUCGAUGGCAAUUCUCACGUAACAACUAAGGUUGUUGGCACCUAUGGCUACGCUGCCCCUGAGUAUAUAGCUACAGGUAGCUACAUUUUAUCAAAUACUCCACUAAUUAAUUAACAGUUUUUAAAAUUAAAAUUAAUUACUAUUCAUAAUUGCUUGCAGGCCAUUUGUACGUGAAGAGUGACGUGUAUGGUUUUGGGGUGGUAUUGUUGGAAAUAAUAACGGGCUUGCGGGUUCUCGACCCGAACCGGCCCAGCGGGCAGCUUAAUUUGGUGGAUUGGGCCCGACCGUCCCUACCCGACAAAAAGAAGCUCAAAAAAUUAAUGGAUCCACGUCUGCAAGAAGAGUACCCACCAAACGCUGCAUGUGCAACAGCCGAGCUCAUACUAAAAUGUCUCGAGCCCGACCCGAAAUGCCGGCCCGAUAUGGAGGCUGUUUUGCAGAGUUUGGAAGAGAUUAGCCACAUUCAAAUGAAGCCCAAGAAACAAAGAGGCGAGCCGAAGCAAGGCCCACAACACCACCACCAGCUGCCGUUGCCCCACCAUGCCUACCGCGGAAGUGGCGGAGGUAGGGGUGGCGCCGCCGGGCAUCGGCAACAUAAUGCCCGUAGUUAAUUACUAACGGAUUUUGAUGUUGUUGGGCGUAUAAAUAACAUAGGCCCACAUUUUUUUUAUGCCCGAAUUGGAGGCCUAGUAUUAGACGUUGUGCUACUUGUAGGAAAUAUAUAUGUGUAUAAUCAAUGUCGAUGUUGUGUUGUUUUGGUUAUUGGAUAGUGUGAUAUCCUAUUAUUUCUCUACAUUUGAUUUUGCACCCAAUUGUCCAAACAACAUGAAUAAUUUAAGGAAGCGAAUUCGCUUGGAAACUACGUAUGGGUUGAGGCCCAUAAACAAAUUACUACUUAAUGAGAUGUAUCUCGUAAUAAUAUGUUUAUAUCUGAGGUUCUAGUAAUGAGUUAAAAUAAUUUUUUUUUAAAUAUAAAUUAAAAAUUAAGUUUAGCACUUAGAUCAUGAAGGGAGCAAAAAAAAAUUAACUUCAUUCCUUUAUACAGGAAAUUUAUACACAUUCCACAUUAAAUUCGUGAGUUCAUAAUUUAUAUUUUAAAACGAAUUUAUGAACAAACCCACCCCUGAGGUUCUUCUAUACAACACAUAAUAUUUGUGAAUUUAGAUCAAAUUCUUAGUUAAUGUAAUUUUGUUUAGGUAUAAAUCAUUAAAGCUAGUUAAAAUAAUGAUGUAUUUUACAUGGUGGUCAUUUUAACUUGGGGUUCAAUCCCACUUGCGAGCGGUGUAGUUUUUUUUAUUUUUGUGCAUGGAUAGUGUUUUCAUUUUUGUGUGGAUAGUGGUUCCACCUGUUUGAAACUAUUUCCCACAUUUUGUGGUGCAGAGGUACUGUUUGCGUGAAAAUUACUUAUUUAAUUAUGUUUAAAUAUCUUUUGUAAUUCUAAUUAGAAAAAAAUAGAAAGUAAAGACAUUUAAUAGACAGAAGUAGAUAAGAAGGUAACACACAUAAACCGCAUUACAAUAAAAAGGCCAAAUGUGUCCAAGCACAUAGAUAUUACAACACGCAAUAAACUUUACAGAAGUAAAAAGAAAUUACGAUGGACGAUAAUUGUAGUUGGAAACACCCGAUUAUGUUUACACCACUUAUUACUUCAUCAAAACAUAUAGGAAUAGGAGUAUAUGCUUUGUUGCUUCCUUCACAUGGUUGGCCUCACAUUCAGACGGGACGCCAGUUUCUGACCAAGGGACUUGUCGACCUGCGCCGCAAUUAACGCUAAUUAAUAUACUCCAAAUAAUUAAAUACACAUAUAGAUAUAAUUAAGAUUAAAGUUGGUACCUGAGUCCACCACGAUAUCCAAAUAGCACGUAUCUCGUGGGUGAGACGGGGAUCCGAUAACGCAUCAACCCAUCGCUUCACAAAUCUGUCUUGCCUGUCUGGUGCCCAUGAACGGUAUCUGACUCCGGGUUCCUUGAAGUUAUUCUCCUUAUCGAUGCACACCCUUUCACGUCUCCCGGUUAUGACGGCGGUGGGAAUGGGGUGCUUCUCGGCAUGGCGGCAAGGGUCAUACUUGGAGGGGAAAUAAUUCACCUCCUCAUCCCUAUGCAUGAAGUUCAUGAAGCCAUCAUGGUGGUUGUUGCGAUGGGGGCAUUUCGGGCAUUCACCGGCAGCAUCAGGUGGUUGGGCCCAAGCCUAUGGCGCUGCGUGUCUCCAUACGCAAAAGUCCGGCAUUGAAGCAUCUUGUCGUUGGAGAAGUAAAUCCCGGGCACGAUGACGGAGGGAUUGAAGGCCAGCUGCUCAUUCUCCGUGAAGAAAUUGUCAAUGUUCUUGUUGAGCACCAUCCUCCCCACGGGCUGCAGGGCAGGAUGUCCUCCGGCCACGUCAGCGUCACGUCCAGCGGGUCGAAGUCGAACUUGUCCUCGUCCGCCGGGUCCAUGAUCUGGAUGAACAGCUUCCACUCGGGGAAGUUGCCGGCGGUGAUGGAGUCGUACAGAUCCUUGGUGGCGUGGCUGUGGUUGGCGCCGCCGAUCACCUUGGCCUCCUCGUCCGAGAGGCACUUGAUGCCGCAGGUGGGCUUCCAGUGGAACUUCACGUAGUUGACCUUGCCGGCCUUGUUGAUGAGGGUGAAGGUGUGCACGCCGAAGCCCUCCAUGUGCCGGUAGUCCUGCGGGAUGCCGUAGUCGUCGAAGAAGAAGGUGAAGGUGUUGAGGCUCUCCGGGAUGUGGGAGAAGAAGUCCAGGUAACGCCAUGUUUCCUGGAUGUGGGAUUUCGGGUUCGGUUUCAUCGCGUGGAUCAGGUCCGGGAACUUCAUCCCGUCCCGGAUGAAGAACACCGGGAUGUUGUUUCCCACCAUGUCGAAGUUUCCCUAAUCAAUAAAUUAAACAAACACCAAUUUGGUCAUUGUUGAGCUAUUUUUUAAUUUUUCUUUUUAGCAAAUCAUUUGAGCUAAUAUGUACCUCUCUGGUGUAGAAUUUGAUGGCGAAACCCCGAGGGUCCCGAAGGGUUUCGGGGCUGCCGCGUUCGUGGAUGACGGUGGAGAAGCGGAUGAUGAGCGGGGUUUGAACGCCCGGUGCUCGGAGGAAAUCGGCGCAAGUGAGGUGAGAGAUGUCAUGAGUGACCUCGAAGAAUCCCUUGGCGCUCGCACCUCUCGCGUGGACAACACGCUCCGGGAUCCUCUCCCGGGCGAAGUUAGCAACUUUCUCUACCAAAUGGUAGUCCUCCAGGAGGAUGGGGC
rnacentral:lncRNA from 1 species